AAUACUGAAUUUAUUUAAGCUGAACAUUGACACCAUUUUCUUUAAGAGCUGCUGUACAGCCAAAAUUAUUUACCAGUUAUCACUGUAAAGCUGCUUUGACACAAUCUGCAUUGUAAAAAGCGCUAUAUAAAUAAAGGUGACUUGACUGUUACAAGUCACAUCUCCCCUGGACUCCAUCUCCCAUCAUCCUCUCUGAUUCUCACCUGCACUCACUUCCUCGUUACCCUCCUGCUGAUCAUGAACUCCCUGCACCUGGACUUCAUUAUCUGCACACCCUUUAUAAUGGACUCACUCCCCAGCACUCAUUGGCUGCAUCCGAAACCGCAUACUUCUCUACUAUAUAGUAGGGGAAAACCAGUAGGCGAGCGAAAAAGUAUGUCCGAAUCCAAAGUAUUCAUAAAAGAGUAGGCGAGAAUUACCUGGGUGAUGUCUAAUUCUCGCGAGAUUCGGACGUGCGUCUACUUGAAGUGUGUCCGAAUAUGCCUACUUAUCUACUAUAUAGUAGGGGAAAAACAGUACGUGAAAGGAGCAGUAUGUCCGAAAUCCUCAGUAAUCAUAAAUGAGUAGUCGAGAAGUUCCCGGAUGGCCUACUGCUCCCGCCCAGAUUCUGAAGUGUUCAUCCGAUGGACACUCUUCUAUCCCAGGAGGCCACGGGAGAGGAUACGUCACACUCGAACACGGAGGAGAAAAGCGGCGCGGAUGUUUUCAAAUGGACAGAUGAGCACACGUGUGUUUAUCCAGUGGAGAGAGGCUGAUGAAGGAAUGAUGGCGUCAAUGGCUUUGAAGCUUUUGUGGUGGAGCAGGACCUGCAAGGCAAGAUGAUGGCGGCAUUUGUGGGGGAAAGAAACCUGAAUAAUGACUGAAUUUAUAUGUUUGGGUGAACUAACCCUUUAAGCCCCCAAAUAGAAACUGUAUGUAUGCAUUUA